GUGUCAGCCGCCGCGGUAAUACGUAGGUGGCAAGCGUUGUCCGGAAUUACUGGGCGUAAAGGGCGUGUAGGCGGCCUUUUAAGUCAGACGUGAAAUCUCUGGGCUUAACCCAGAAAUUGCGUUUGAAACUGGAGGGCUUGAGGAUCGGAGAGGGCAGUGGAAUUCCCAGUGUAGCGGUGAAAUGCGUAGAUAUUGGGAGGAACACCAGUGGCGAAGGCGACUGCCUGGACGACACCUGACGCUGAGGCGCGAAAGCUAGGGGAGCAAACGGGAUUAGAAACCCCGGUAGUCC
rnacentral:rRNA from 1 species